AAAAGACCGGCACCCUUCGGGGAGCCUGACGGCAUAGGUCCCCCGGGAUCUACCGCCUAAACCCAUUGUGAAAACCCCCAGUUGCUUCGGCAGCGCGUCCCCCUCCCGCAAGGAUGGGGAACGGUCAGCCUGCCGACGGCACCAGUGGAAACCUUUUUUGAAGGAAGACUGAUAACCGUCUGAGCGCGAAGUCUAAUGACUAUA
rnacentral:misc_RNA from 1 species